AUUGAACGCUGGCGGCAUGCCUUACACAUGCAAGUCGAACGGCAGCACGGGUGCUUGCACCUGGUGGCGAGUGGCGAACGGGUGAGUAAUACAUCGGAACGUACCUUAUCGUGGGGGAUAACGCAGCGAAAGCUGUGCUAAUACCGCAUACGCCCUGAGGGGGAAAGCGGGGGAUCGCAAGACCUCGCGCGAUUAGAGCGGCCGAUGCCUGAUUAGCUAGUUGGUGGGGUAAAAGCCCACCAAGGCGACGAUCAGUAGCUGGUCUGAGAGGACGAUCAGCCACACCGGGACUGAGAAACGGCCCAGACUCCUACGGGAGGCAGCAGUGGGGAAUUUUGGACAAUGGGGGCAACCCUGAUCCAGCAAUGCCGCGUGAGUGAAGAAGGCCUUCGGGUUGUAAAGCUCUUUUGUCAGGGAAGAAACACCGGCUCUAGCACAGUCCGGGAAUGACGGUACCUGAAGAAUAAGCACCGGCUAACUACGUGCCAGCCGCCGCGGUAA
rnacentral:rRNA from 1 species